GCUAAACGCGAAGAACCUUACCAGGUCUUGACAUCCUAGGAACUUUCCAGAGAUGGGAGUGUGCCUUCGGGAACCGUGACACAGGUGCUGCAUGGCUGUCGUCAGCUCGUGUCGUGAGAUGUUGGGUUAAGUCCCGCAACGAGCGCAACCCUUAUCGUAUGUUGCCAGCAUUUAGUUGGGCACUCAUGCGAGACUGCCGGUGAUAAGCCGGAGGAAGGCGGGGACGACGUCAAGUCAUCAUGGCCCUUACGUGUAGGGCUAGAAACGUGCUACAAUGGUGGUCACAAUGGGCAGCAAGGUCGUGAGGCCAAGCUAAUCCCAAAAAGCCAUCUCAGUUCAGAUUGUAGUCUGCAACUCGACUACAUGAAGUUGGAAUCGCUAGUAAUCGCAAAUCAGCAUGUUGCGGUGAAUACGUUCCCGGUCUUGUACACACCG
rnacentral:rRNA from 1 species